rnacentral:rRNA from 1 species
CUACGGGAGGCAGCAGUGAGGGAUAUUGCACAAUGGGGGCAACCCUGAUGCAGCGACGCCGCGUGGGUGAUGAAGGCCUUCGGGUCGUAAAACCCUUUUCCCCGUGACGAGACAGGACGGUAGCGGGGGAAUAAGCCUCGGCUAACUACGUGCCAGCAGCCGCGGUAAAACGUAGGAGGCGAGCGUUAUCCGGAGUUACUGGGCGUAAAGCGCGCGCAGGCGGGGGGGUAAGUGACUUGUGAAAACGCCCGGCUAAACUGGGCGAGGUCAGGUCAGACUGCCUUGCUGGAGGGUGGUAGAGGAGCGCGGAAUUCGGGGUGUAGCGGUGAAAUGUGUAGAGAUCCCGAGGAACACCAGUGGUGCAAACGGCGCUCUGGGCCACUACUGACGCUGAGGCGCGAAAGCGUGGGGAGCGAACGGGAUUAGAAACCCCAGUAGUCC